GGUCAAGCUACAAAGGGCUCACGGUGGAUACCUUGGCACACAGAGGCGAUGAAGGACGUGGUUACCUGCGAUAAGUCUCGGGGAGCUGGAAACACGCUUUGAUCCGGGAAUUUCCGAAUGGGGCAACCCCUAGAACGGCCAGCUGAAUCCAUAGGCUGGCGCGAGCCAACCCAGCGAACUGAAACAUCUUAGAGCGAGAAGAA
rnacentral:rRNA from 2 species